AUAUUGCACAAUGGGCGCAAGCCUGAUGCAGCCAUGCCGCGUGUGUGAAGAAGGCCUUCGGGUUGUAAAGCACUUUCAGCGGGGAGGAAGGCGUUAAGGUUAAUAACCUUGGCGAUUGACGUUACCCGCAGAAGAAGCACCGGCUAACUCCGUGCCAGCAGCCGCGGUAAUACGGAGGGUGCAAGCGUUAAUCGGAAUUACUGGG
rnacentral:rRNA from 1 species